rnacentral:rRNA from 1 species
UACAGAGGGUGCAAGCGUUAAUCGGAAUUACUGGGCGUAAAGCGUGCGUAGACGGUUAUGUAAGUCGGGUGUGAAAGCCCCGGGCUCAACCUGGGAAUGACAUUCGAGACUGCAUAGCUAGGGUGCGGAAGAGGGAAGCGGAAUUUCCGGUGUAGCGGUGAAAUGCGUAGAUAUCGGAAGGAACACCAGUGGCGAAAGCGGCUUCCUGGUCCAGCACCGACGUUCAGGCACGAAAGCGUGGGGAGCAAACAGG